rnacentral:rRNA from 1 species
UGGGGGAUAUUGCGCAAUGGGGGAAACCCUGACGCAGCAACGCCGCGUGAAGGAAGAAGGUUUUCGGAUUGUAAACUUCUUUUGUUAAGGACGAAAAACGACGGUACUUAACGAAUAAGCUCCGGCUAACUACGUGCCAGCAGCCGCGGUAAUACGUAGGGAGCGAGCGUUGUCCGGAUUUACUGGGUGUAAAGGGUGCGUAGGCGGCUGAUCAAGUCAGAUGUGAAAUGCACAGGCUUAACCUGUGAGCUGCAUUUGAAACUGGUCAGCUUGAGUGAAGUAGAGGUAGGCGGAAUUCCCGGUGUAGCGGUGAAAUGCGUAGAGAUCGGGAGGAACACCAGUGGCGAAGGCGGCCUACUGGGCUUUAACUGACGCUGAGGCACGAAAGCGUGGGUAGCAA